rnacentral:lncRNA from 1 species
CCAUCAUCAAAAUAUUUAAAAUAACGAAAUCACACAGUAUUGAUGCGGGGCAUUUUGUAAGUUCUACCCUUUUGUUUAAUAAAAUAAAAUAAAAAGAGCAAAAAAAAUACUUAAAAAUCAAACAUUAUUUACAGGUAUUUACAUUAAGGCAUUUCAGUUACACAGAAUAAAAUGGCAGAUCUGAGAAAAAGUUGGAUUCCCUCUUGUCCAAGUUUCAUUAAAUAAAUAAAAGGAAGAUUUAGCAUUAUAGUAUCAGCUAGUAUCCAGCCUAUUUCCCUAUAUAGUGCACUACUACAGGCCCUGGGUUCUAUAGGGCCCUGGUCUAAAGUAGUGCACUAUAUAAGGAAUAGGGUUCUAUAGGGCCCUGGUCUAAAGUAGUGCACUAUAUAGGGAAUAGGGUUCUAUAGGGCUCUGGUCUAAAGUAGUGCACUAUAUAUAGGGAAUAGGGUUCUAUAGGGCCCUGGUCUAAAGUAGUGCACUAUAUAGGGAAUAGGGUUCUAUAGGGCCCUGGUCUAAAGUAGUACACUAUAUAGGGAAUAGGGUUUUAUAGGGCUCUGGUCUAUAGUAGUGCACUAUAUAGGGAAUAGGGUGGCAUUUGGGACACACACACAAAUGGAUCAAAGUACCUUUUUAGGUGGAGUUCAGAAGACCACAGAGACACUUAGGAUGAAACCCCAACGUGUCUGAACGUCCAGGAUGUUAGUUGACAUGAAUACAUUAGUCAAUGUGGUUUUCUGUAUUACAUUCAAUACUAAGUAGGGUGUGUCCCAAACACUCAGCUCAGAGUAGGAGAAAACAUUUCACUUCCUUAUGUUAGAAAAUACAUUUUUACCGGAGACACAUGUAUGAUUCUUCACGUUGUGAAUCAUUCAGUAAGGAGGUCUCUCUCUGUCUAACGAAUCAUUAACUUUAUAUACAAAACAAACAAAAAAUAAAGAGUCUGAUUUUGAAACCUGAUACAUUCGAUAAUAAAAUGACUUAAAUGUAAAUGUAAAAGCACUGAACUCCGUCGACCGAGAGGCUUUUCCCGCCCAAAAUUUUUUUUUGAGGAUUUUACAAAAAAAAAUGUUGUUGUCGUUGUCGUCUCCAAAGUAGUUUCCACGGGUCGCAAAACGAUAAAUAAAAAAUGUAAAAAAAAGGCUUUGAAAAUAAAAAUAAAAGUUUGGUGUUUUGCUCAGUUGAGAAGUUAGAGAAGAUAAAACUUGUGUUUUU